AACCAGUCCCUGCAGCCCCCGGCCAGUCCUUCCCUCCAGGAGCACCUGAGAGCAUGAGCCCAACACACAAGAAUGCCCCGCACCCCCAGGAUUACACAGUGGAGAAUCUCGUCCGCAUGGGCC